rnacentral:rRNA from 1 species
AUUGAACGCUGGCGGCAUGCCUUACACAUGCAAGUCGAACGGCAGCACGGACUUCGGUCUGGUGGCGAGUGGCGAACGGGUGAGUAAUACAUCGGAACGUGCCCAGUCGUGGGGGAUAACGUAGCGAAAGCUACGCUAAUACUGCAUACGAUCUAAGGAUGAAAGCGGGGGACCGUAAGGCCUCGCGCGAUUGGAGCGGCCGAUGGCAGAUUAGGUAGUUGGUGGGGUAAAGGCUCACAAAGCCGACGAUCUGUAGCUGGUCUGAGAGGACGAUCAGCCACACUGGGACUGAGACACGGCCCAGACUCCUACGGGAGGCAGCAGUGGGGAAUUUUGGACAAUGGGCGCAAGCCUGAUCCAGCCAUUCCGCGUGCAGGAUGAAGGCCCUCGGGUUGUAAACUGCUUUUGUACGGAACGAAAAGGCUCUGGUUAAUACCUGGGGCUCAUGACGGUACCGUAAGAAUAAGCACCGGCUAACUACGUGCCAGCAGCCGCCGUAA